rnacentral:tmRNA from 1 species
GGGCCUGACAGGUUUCGAUUGGCUGAUAGGACAACUGAACAGCGGGCAGGUGUUGGGCACAGUGGCUACCUUGAGUGAACGUGCCGACCAAUUAAGCGCCGACAACAACGACGCACUGGUAGCCGAGGCCGAGAUCAGCGAGAUCGAAGCCUUCGCCAACUCCGCUCCCGUAGCGGUGUGACCUGUCGGGGACAAGCCAGCUGCCGCGCAGCGUCUCCGACAUCAUCUCUAGCGGCAGCGCCCCCGCCGACUGAUCAGUGAGCGGUAUACAAGUGCACAGAUCUAACGAAGCCAGAAGGGCGUUCCUCCCCUCGCUGGCGGGGCCACAAGAGGAACUACGCCCGUAGAACCCAGUUCGACAGACGCCAAGACCCCGGUUCGAUCCCGGGCAGGUCCACCA